rnacentral:rRNA from 1 species
UACAGAGGGUGCGAGCGUUAAUCGGAAUUACUGGGCGUAAAGCGCACGUAGUCGGCUUUGCAAGUCGGGUGUGAAAUCCCCGGGCUCAACCUGGGAACUGCAUCCGAGACUGCAUUGCUAGAGUAUGGGAGAGGGAAGCGGAAUUUCUGGUGUAGCAGUGAAAUGCGUAGAUAUCAGAAGGAACAUCAGUGGCGAAGGCGGCUUCCUGGACCAAUACUGACGA